UUAAUUGAAACCAAAAAGAGGUUUAUCACUGUUAAUGAUAAUAAUGGAACAAUCCCAAUUAAA
rnacentral:tRNA from 1 species